GUCAAGCUACUAAGGGCAGACGGUGGAUGCCUUGGCGGUAGGAGGCGAUGAAGGACGUGGUUAGCUGCGAAAAGCAUCGGGGAGCUGCUAAGCAAGCUUUGAUCCGGUGAUGUCCGAAUGGGGAAACCCGGCCAGGGUCAUGCCUGGUCAUCCCUCACUGAAUACAUAGGUGAGGGAGGCGAACUCGGGGAACUGAAACAUCUCAGUACCCGAAGGAACGGAAAUCAAUGAGACUCCCUGAGUAGCGGCGAGCGAAACGGGAAUAGGCCAAACCGGCGGGAAGAAAUUCCUUCCGGGGUUGUGGGACUCCGACGUGGGACUUGGAUGGAUAGCGGAAUGGUCUGGAAAGGCCGGCCAAAGAGGGUGAAAGCCCCGUAUGCGAAAUCCUGAAGAGCUCUAGGAGUAUCCCGAGUACCGCGGGGCACGUGGAACCCUGUGGGAAUCUGGGGGGACCAUCCUCCAAGCCUAAGUACUACCUACCGACCGAUAGUGAACCAGUACCGUGAGGGAAAGGCGAAAAGAACCCCUGUGAGGGGAGUGAAAUAGAUCCUGAAACCGUAUGCGUACAAGCAGUCGGAGCGGACUUGUUCCGUGACGGCGUACCUUUUGUAUAAUGGGUCAGCGACUUAUGUUCAGUGGCGAGGUUAACCGUUUAGGGGAGCCGUAGGGAAACCGAGUCUGAAUAGGGCGAUUUAGUCGCUGGGCAUAGACCCGAAACCGGGCGAUCUAUCCAUGAGCAGGUUGAAGGUUGAGUAACAUCAACUGGAGGACCGAACCCACUGUCUUUGAAAAGCCAGGGGAUGACUU
rnacentral:rRNA from 1 species